rnacentral:rRNA from 1 species
UACGUAGGGUGCGAGCGUUGUCCGGAAUUAUUGGGCGUAAAGAGCUCGUAGGCGGUCUGUCGCGUCGGUCGUGAAAACUUGGGGCUUAACCCUGAGCUUGCGGUCGAUACGGGCAUGACUGGAGUUCGGCAGGGGAGACUGGAAUUCCUGGUGUAGCGGUGAAAUGCGCAGAUAUCAGGAGGAACACCGGUGGCGAAGGCGGAUCUCUGGGCCUUACCUGACGCUGAGGCGCGAAAGCUAGGGGAGCGAACAGG